rnacentral:lncRNA from 1 species
CAUCUAACAAUUAACCAAAAGAGUUAGAAACAAAAUAAAAACAAAUAUAGAAAGCAGCUAGGGACUAAAUCAUGAACCAUCUCUACAUGUAACAUGUAACCGUAAUAACCACAAGGACUAGCUGUUGCAUGAAUACCAAAACUUCCAGAAAUGGUUGUUCAGAAUACAAGAAGGCAUAGUUGUUGCAUGUAUACCAAAACUCCUAGAAUGGUUCUAGAUGUUGAAUGCAGAAAACGAUUUAAUCUUUGAUGGUUCAUUGAGCACGACACGAACGAUUUAAGAUAACAAGACAUAUGUUCUACACUAAUUUUACACAAAUCAUUAUCAAUUACAAUUUACAACAGACUUAAAACAAAACACCAUAGCUUCUGCAUCACAUAGGGAAUCAACACAAUGGCAUCAUGGCCCAUCGACCAAAGAAGAAAAGAAAAUAAUGGGAUAGACCGAAGCCUUAUCUAGUCAGAGAAGAUAGCGUUGAUGUAGUUGCAGCACGGCUACCUCAAGACUGUGAAUGUGGUGCCAUGGUCGGGGUUGAUGCGCUCGAGCAAGGUAAGCAUAAUGGCCUCGUCGGGUCUGCGAGAAUAAGAAAAGUAUUAGCUAUAUUGCCCAGUAGGAUUAGCUAGCAUCUAGAGCAUGCAUUGACUGGACACAUAUUCCCUUUAACAAAAUGAAAAGAGUAUCAUUGGGAUCAUUACCUUCCCUCUUGCUUAAGUAGCAAUGUCCGUUCUUUCUGCUCCAUGGCUGGCCUAAACCAAACCGCCUUGAAGAAUAGAAAGAAGUCUCAGGUUUAUCAACCACAACAAAACAACAGUGUGACCUAAAGAAGAAGAAUAGAAAGAGGUAUCAGGUUUAUCAAGCAUAGCAAAACAGCAUUGUGACCAUUAGUCAUAGAACUGAAUAUAAAACAAAAGAGGUCUCAGGUUUAGACUCUAAAGGAAGAGCUACUUAUGCAUGAUGUCUCAGGUUUAAACAAAAGAUCAAGACCACAAUUUUAACAAGAGAUAUGUAGUCAGUCCAAUUGAACAAGAUCUGGACAGUAGUAUUAUGAGUAUUUAAGUGCAGAUGUAGCAGGCAAUCAAAUGAAGCAACUUAAUUGUUUGCAUGGCAUUCACCAUAGUAGAUAGUACUAACCCCAGUACACGUGCAUGCAGAAAUGAUUUGCUCAAACAAUGGCUAAUUGAAUUAACAAUGAAGGAAAUUUAGACUCAAGCUUAGUCAGUCCAGCAUAAUCCAUUUGCCCCAACACAAAAGACACCCGAAAUUGUUCAUAUGCCCCCUUUGGUUUGCAGAACGGUACUGUUCAUCAUUUGGGGAUCAUAUGUACAUCACUUCUGUCUUCUGCAGACUGGCAGUUGACAUCUGCCAUAAACAUUUCUUAAGGAUCCUUUACUUGCAAUUUGAAGAACUUUCUAAUUUGAAAUCCUCUUUUCUGAGAUAAACCAUGACUUAUAGGAUAUGCAUAUCCCAUGAAAAAAAGAGGAUAUACAUAGAACCUGACUGGAGCAGAAUAUUGAUUCUGAACAUUUUGCAAGACCGUAAGGUUCUGACAGUCUACUACCAUGCCCAAUAUGUACGACAGUGUCUCCAGUAUUUGCCUUAUCCACCUUAUGCUAGACGGAUUGUAUGGUUGAAACAGAGACAGCUCAAAGAACAGUAAUAAUACACGGCCAACCUUGGCAUCGCUGGGGGACUCGCUUCUCAUGCAUUCCUCCUCCGAAUUGUUGGGUUUAGAGCAGCAACUGAUCCGUGUUCGUACUGAAACACACAUAAGAAAACAUUUUUAGCACAUAAUUUAGUAAAGAUGUCUCUCCCAGAAAACCAUAUCCCCUACUCUCGAGCAUCCAACAAACAAAGAAUAAUUCUACAUAUUUGAAGAACGAAAACUGGGAUGGUGAUAACAUCGGAGCCUCCCAAUUCUUAUCCCGAAAAGGACCCAAGCUACGCUCUUAGCUGUAAUAAAAAUUGAAAAAUAUAACUGCUAGCCACAGAACUUGCUAAACUUUCUUUCAGCAACAUCAUUCUGACAAUAAGCCACAAAUCAUAAUCGGAGAAGGCUGUCAGAAACAGAUAUCUUAUUCAAAGCCACACAAAUUUGCACAUGCUUGUUCAAACUUUGUUUUUGUUACUGCAUAGGUAUCUUAUACAGUACUGAACAACACAGGAGCAUCAUCCGUGUAACAACCACAUUAUUCAUCUGCUAGUUGCACUAAUAAGAACAAUGCAAUGUUGUGGAUCUAUCCUGGUGAGUGGUGACCCCUGCCAUCCAGCCAUGCUAAACAGUAGAGUUUAGCAAUUCGAAUAUGUACUGUAUGUUACAAAGUUUUUUUUCUGUACUAGGUCGAACAUUGUAAUUCACUGACAUUUACUACUCACAAACAACUCCAUUAGUAAAAAUCAUCAGGCCAAGAAAAGAAAAGAACAGAACAGAACAUGCCACGGGGUGGGUGGGACUGUGGGAGGGAGGGAGGAGAAUAGAACAUACCACUCUCGCAACUUGCACGUCACCAACGAAUGCAGCAUGCAUCCUCACCAAAAAUUUCACGAACGCCAUCUUCCAUUGUCCCCAAUGCUAAUCAGUGGUCACUGACACCGCAAAGCCUAAACGAAAUCCCCGAAGAACAAAAUGGAAAUGCGACGAAGGGAAUCGGGACGAGGCAUGACCUAGUAAGGGAUCAAGGAGGGCGCGGGCUCGCCGGACUCCCCGUAUGCCAUCUCCGGCUAGACCGCCUCCAUGAGCCGCUCCCUCCGCAGCGGCUGCUCCACGUCCUCCUCCCCCUGCGGAUCCUGCCACGGAACAACCGCCAGAGCCACCCCAGAUCAGAGGCCCGCGCGUGCGCACGACGAAACGAAUCUGCGAGCUGGGCCGGGCCGUGUUAGUUACCUAGGUGAAGAGGAGGGAGCUGAGGAAGCCGGUGAGGAAGAAGAGGGAGCAGGAGAGGAGCACCACGGGGAGCCGCAGUCGCGUCCGCAUCAGCCCGCCGCCGCCCCCGCCACCGCUCCAGAUGGCUCCGCCGCCCUUCAUGGCUCGCCGAUGCCGCUCCGACGCGUGGCGAAGCGUGUCUGCAUGUCAACGUGUUGGUUGGGUGGGGGGAAGCGGGAGAAGAUGGGGAAGAGACAGUCGCGCAACGGCCAAGCGAAGAGACAGAAGAUGAGGAAGGGCGAGAGGGUGGGGGCGGCAGCGGUGCGGGAGAAGGGCAGCGAGGUCACCGGCAGGGAAGCCCGGUGCCGGUGCAGAUGAGGGGCGGCGGCGGACACGGGAUCGAGGAAGAGGGCAGAGGAAGUGGGUUGGGCUUGGGGGAUUUUGUUUUUGCUCCUAAUCUGCCAACGUCCUGCGGGAGAGAGAUGGGGACGAGGUGGGAGGGAAGCGGAUAGGAGGGGGAGAGGCUGCCGGCGGCAAGGUUUGGGAGGGAGACGAGGGGAGGGAUGGGAUCGGGGUGGGUGGCGGAGGCGAUGUGGGAGACGAGGGGAGCGAGAUCAAGAUCGAGCGAGGAGAGGGGGGCUUCUAGGGUUUGGGUUGGGUUGGGUUGAGAGGGGAUCAGAGAGACGUUGGAUCCGUCGGAUGUGGACGGUCCAGAUCGGCUAAGGGGGGUGAUCCGUGUGAAGAGCUCUGAUUGGUUUAGAAAAAAUGUGAUUUAGAAUAGUUUCUAAGUACUAAAACUAGGAGGGUUUUGUGAAGCAGUUAUCAAAAAUAUUUUGCAAAAUGGCACAACUAAAAUUUUCUAUCAAUUUAGACCAUAUUUUAUGGAUGAUAGCCAGUUUGCAUGCAAUUUUUUAUCUUUGUAGCUAUUUUAAAUCAUUAUUCGAGUGCCCAAAAUGAGUUUUUUUGUGAAGGGUCUACCAAAUAAUUGUUGUAAAAUUGUACCAAAUCAAUUUUCUAAAAUACUAGGACAUAUUUAAACCACAAUUUACCAAAUUGUUGGGCGUCAGAAGUUUUGAUCCACCUCUGGUGAAAAAGAAAAAUUUCCGCUGAUUUAGUUGGAAGCGGGUCAAAUUUGAACUGUAGCUACCUCGUAGUUUGCUUUUUAUUUUUUCUAAAAAUCAUUUGUAGGUACACAAGUAUCUAUUUAAUCAGGGAAACACCAAAAAAAUUCCAAGAUUCAACCACUAGCUAGGAACGGACAUUCUCGCCGUUUUGAUCGCAUUUUGAAACGGGGAUAAAAAAUUCAAAAAAAAUCAAAAAAUUGUAAAACCUUCAUAUUGCGUCAUUAUAUGUGACCAAGUUACCAGGAAAAAUUAUAAACUUGUAAUACGACGAUUAUUUUAAAAAAGUGUUCUCAGAAACGAGCUAUCAAGUGUGAAGAUGAAUGACUUUCAACCCAAAUGCUCAAUCUUAUGGCCACAUUCAUGGCAUAGUUUGUUCAAAUGAGCUCAUAUUGUGCACAAGGGUGAAUAUUGGAAUGACAAACAAUGUUUCUUAAGGAGGUUUUCAUUUUCUUUGGAUGAAAAAUUCAUUUUCCAUUUUUCGAGUGCCUGAAAAGAGGGUUUUUUGUGAAGGACCUACCAUAUAUUUGUUGCAAAAUUGUACCAAGUCAAUUUUCUAAAAUACUAGGACAUAUUUAAUGCACAAUUGACCAAAUAGUUGGGUGUAAAAAAUUUUGAUCCACCUCUCGUGAAAAAGACAAAUUUCCGCCGAUUCAGUUGGAAGCGGGUCAACUUUGAACUAUAGCUACCUUGUAGUUUGGUCUUUAUUUUUUCCAAAAAUCAUUUCUAGGUACAUAAGUAUCUAUUUAAUCAAAGAAACACCAAAAAAUUCCAAGAUUCAACCACUAGCUAGGAACGGUCAAGCCCACCGUUUUGACCGCAUUUUGAAACGGGCAUAAAAAAUUAAAAAAAAAUCAAAUAAUUGGAAAACCUUCGCAUGGUGUCAUUAUAUGUGACAAAGUUUCAAGGAAAAAUAAUAAACUUGUAAUACGGAAAUUAUUUUUAAAAAAGUGUUCUCAGAAAUGAGCUAUCAUGCGUGAAGAUUCAUGGCUUUCAAGCCAAACGAUCAAUCUUAUGGCCACAUUCAUGGCAUGGUUUGUUCAAAUGAUAUCAUAUUGUGCACAAGGGUGCAUCUUGAAAUUCCAAACAAUGUUGCCUAAGGGAUUUUUCAUUUUCUUUUCACGGAAAAUACAUUUUCUAUUUUCCGAGUGCCCGAAAUGAGUUUUUUGUGAAGGACCUACCAUAUAUUUAUUGCAAAAUUGGACCUAAUCAAUUUUAUAAAAUACUAGGCCAUAUUUAAUGCACAAUUGACAAAAUGGUUGGGUGUCAAAAAAUUUGAUCCACCUCUGGUGAAAAAGACAAAUUCCCGCCGAUUUAGCUGGAAGCGGGUCAAAUUUGAACUGCAGCUGCCUCAUAGUUUGGUCUUUAUUUUUCCAAAAAUCAUUUCUAGGUAAGUAAGUAUCUAUUUAAACAGAAAUACAUGGUUUUAUGACGAGACAUCGAGGUUUGGACGGUGGCCGAGGGCCCCAACUCUAGAGCGCAUAAGCUCGCAUACCCGCCGCGUGGUCACCGCGUGACCGUGGCAUUGCCAUGUGUUCUGGGCGGCCUAGGCAUGUCUAGUGGGUUGGGCACUCCCCAGAUAGGUGCUAGGAAGAAAAUUACAACAUAAGAUUCUCAUGAGGAGACCGAACUAUGCUCAAAGAUGAAUUAGCAGCCAAGUGUUUGAUUAGCAGUACGAGAAAUGCACAUGGCCAAUGGGCGUGAGUUUUGGCUGAGAAUGAUCAUAUACUAAGAAGAAUGUCUUCACAAAUUUUUAGGGAAAUCAAGAAUAUAUAAAUAACACUUCCUUCACAAAGUGCUGCUUUGAACAUAAUAGGAAAAUGAAUAUUGUUGAGUUAUUUUUGAACUAGGCAAGGAAGGUUUCUAACAUAUUUGAUGAAGAUAUGAUCCAGACAAUUUAUGAGAAUUUUUUGGGAAUUUUUGGAAUAACAAAAAUAUAGGUUGCUUCACAACCUAGGGCAAAAUUUGACACAUGGACAUGACACAUAGGCAAAACUGAUGAGAUGGCGCCUAGUCAUCACAACCCACCACAAUUUACAAGGCCAUGACCAUCUAUAUUGGUUGUUAACAACUAGAAAUAAGGCAACGGACCAGCGCUAUUUGCUUUAUGACCAUUUCGUGUAAGGAAAUUACGACCUUUCCGACCAAAAUGGUCGCAAUGUUUUAGGGUUUGGAGCCCCCCGAACAGCUUUUGGCCAAUUGGUCUCAAAUGGUCAUAGAUCUAUGACCAAUUCUUCCAGGGUCACUGACAGAAGGUCACUAGUUGACAUAUUUCAUGUAGUGGUUCCUUGGUUGCGGGUAAUCCUAGGAUGGCAGUUGUCGCCAUUGAUGCAUUUUUCUUCUUGCUGAAUCUAGUGUGUUUCAUUUGCAGUGCCCAAUGUGCGAGGACCCUACAAGAUUCUGUGCCCUCGGUGAGACGCCACAGUUGUUCCUUCUCAUCCUAACACAGGAUUUUGAAACGUGCAUAGUAUGUUCCUAGAAUCCUCUUUUCUAUCCGGGAGGGUGGGGGUUGUUGAACAUGUUGUCGACUCAUUUGGAAAUUGGAUUGCUAUAUUUGGAUAAAAUGUACUAGUACCAUGGUCAACACUAACGUGAAGGAGGAAAUUAUUUCUAGAUUUGGAUAGAGAAUACAUUGUGUUCUCAUAUUAUUUUUCCUGCAGUGCAUUCCUUGCUCUGCCAGAGGACAUGUACUCAACAUGGUUGGCCUUGCCAUAACUGAAUACACUAGUUUAAUGGUCACAUUGAAGACAAGCCAUGGAUAUAUGUUUUGAGUUGGGUUCAUAAACCAAAAAUAUCGCUGCUUUUUUAUGGCCGAACAUGGAUAAACUUUCUCAAGUGUUACAGACUAAAAGUAGGCGCACAAAUGUUGAUGGAAAUAGCAGAACCAGAUCUCAUCUUUCACUGUGAUCUUCCACCCCGACAUCAUUCCAGUAGUUCAUCCAUGUUAGUUUUGUAUCUGGUUCUUGCUUGUUGCCUCGAUUACUUCUUAAUCCACCUACUAUGUCUAACUAAUCACAAUUUAACUUUAGAAGUAGCAACUAUUUGUGAUUCCCUUCUCUCACGAAGAUUCUACUUCUAACUAAUAUUUCUUAUAGUUGGUGGCACAUGUAGGUUAUUUCAAAGUUAACCAAGCUACUCGUUUGUUAUUCUAUUAAAACUCGACUAUUACUGAUGGCACUGAAGUUGACUGGGACGACAUCCACAGGUUCCUACACUUUAUUGAUCGUAUUGAGGUUCUCGUGGGCCAUUUUAAUGGUGGAAGGCCGCGUGGGAUAUGUGUGCCACUACUGCAUAUGUUGAACAGGUCCAACUGUGUCGAGAAACUUAUGGUACGAGCUUUUUUCUGUUAUAUAUGUUGUUCAUAAACUCUUGCUUAUACACAGUUUUAUAGUUGUGAUCUUCUUGAAAGAGAAACGUCACAGUUCUAUUGUUCCUAUACAAAUGCCUGACCAUGGUCGGGUCAGACUUGCGCUUGGUCACAACAUGAUGUUUAUGUCGACCUACUCCAUUCCCCUUAGAGGUGAAAAGAUACUUAUUCAUGGGUGGUCUCAAAUAAUGAAGGCCCGUCCAUCUUGGAGAAUAUGACAGAAGGUUAUGCUCAUGCUUUUCCAAGGCUCUAAAGCGAAUAUCCUGUUUUAUUGACCACAUUGGAGAUGAAGCCGCUUUUAGGAGGUUGUGGAUGCACGGGGUGGCGCCUGGGCCUUGUCAUGGGGCUUGGUGGCCUCACCCUUGGUUUACUCCAGGCAAAGUAGCACUGAUCGAGGCAUGCUUUGUACGGUUGAACCUGUAUAAGUACUCAUACUGCUUUCAGCUAUGGUUGUUAAGUGCCCCUGCUAGUUUUAGUUAAGUCUGUUAAGUACUUAUGCUAAUUUUAUAUUCUGUCGUUUUUCUUCAGUCUUGUCUUUCUCCAGCCGCCAAAAACAAACCAGCGUCGCGAGGCCACCUGCUUCCGCCUCCCACGGCUGGCUGCACCUCAACGCACACAUCGCCACCCCACCAUCUCCUAAAUCAUUAAUGCCGACGUCCGAGGCCUUGCUGUCAUCCUCCGCACGCGUUGAUGCACUCGCCGCUGCGCUGGCAUCUCGUGUUGUCAACAUGGUGAAUAAAUAGGAGGAAUCGGGAAAGGACUAUAUGUGGAGAGGAUGACAGUAGGGGCCCACCAUGUCCAUGGCCGUACACAAGGAAGUUCCUUAUUUUUCGUUAUAUAUAAUCCAUAGUUAGCGUAUAGAAAACUAAAAUGCUUCCGCCAAGUGGUUUCCUGACAUCUAGGACCCACGACAUUACCAGCUUAUAUAGUCAAUAGAUAAGAGAAGAGCACAAGAUCGGCUAACACCUGGGACGUAGCUCCUCGAGAAGUAUUUUUUUGUUAUUGUUGACGGAGUAGGGUCUUAACUGGGUUGUGGCCCGUCUAAGCCAGGCUUAUAUUUUACAUUCACCACAUGACUAGCCCAGCUAUUUUUUCUUUGUGAAAAUGAGCCCAAAUUAUUUUUUCGAAAGAAUACCCAAUAAAGGGCUACUUAUUUUUCUCUACCCUGAUGGGCUACAACUCUUUCAAGACGACUGCAAAUAUUGAAAGUAAUAUUAAAAGGGUUGUAAAUAUAAAAAACAGACGACAAAUUGGUGCUACCUCUUGAGCAUGCGUUGGUUUUCCCUUGAAGAGGAAAGGGUGAUGCAGCAAAGUAGCAUAAGUAUUUCCCUCAGUUUUGAGAACCAAGGUAUCAAUCCAGUAGGAGACAACGCACAAGUCACCUAGUACCUGCACAAACAAUCAAGAACCUUGCAACCAACGCGAUAAAGGGGUUGUCAAUCCCUUCACGGUCACUCGGAAAAGUGAGAUCUAAUAAAGAUAGUAAAGUAAAUAUUUUUGGUAUUUUUGUUGUAUAGAUUGAAAAGUAAAGAUUGCAAAAUAGUAAACGAGAUGCGAUGUAAAUAAAAGAGAUGCAAUAUAAUAAGAAGGAGACCUGGGGGCCAUAGGUUUCACUAGUGGCUUCUCUCAAGAUAGAAUGUAUUACGGUGGGUGAACAAAUUACAACCGAGCAAUUGAUAGAAAAGCGCAUAGUUAUGAAGAUAUCUAAGGCAAUGAUCACGAAUAUACACUAGUGCAGCGAGCUCCUAAACAAAUGGUUUUUAACCCCUUUCCGCGACGACAUUUGGAACCACGCCAAGUGAGUGUGCGCAAUAAGGGGGUCCUUCCCACACGACCCAGAAACCGUCGGGGAUAUGCCAUCCUGACAUGCACGCUCGAUAAAAUGAGAUCAUGUGCGACCGGCGAGCGCUCUAAUACGAAAAUACAUGCAGUAGAGCUAAAAAAUACAAUUAUACGUCGAAAUUGUUUCCGGUCGCAAGUACAUCCCACAUAGUCAGUCCCCGCCAAACGUUUCCGUUCGUGUGUACAUUCCACACAGUCGCUCCAAGGAAAAUGUUUCCGUUCACAGGUACAUCACAAACAUUUUUUCUGUUAAAUCGUUUGCGUUAUUGAAUGUAUCACACACGGUCCGUAGAAGAAACUGUGUAGCAAAGGCUCUCCAUCACACAUAGUUUUUAUGUGGUAAACGUUUGCGCAAGGUGGCCUAACGCAAACAGUUUUCAAGAGAAAGUCAUGUGUGAUUGUUCAUUGAUCCAACACAGUUUAUUCCUAGAAAUUGUGUGCGUUGCCUGAGGUCAUCGCCCACGGUAUUUUUUCAACAUUCGUUUGCAAUAGCAAAACCCAAUUAGCAGGCUAAUUCACCAUUAGCAGGCUAAUUAUCUGAUUAUUCAUAAUCCAUUUAUUAAUAUAAUUGACAUUUCAUAUUAGGCACACAAUAUAUUUCUUUUUCAUAACUGAAAUACAUUAGAGUACAACAUCAUAUACCUCAGCACUCAACUACCCCAUUACACAACUAAACUAGGACCAAAUUUCACAUGCAACAUCCAUAACCUUUCAAAAUUCGCAUCAUAGACGGUACAUAGACAGAUGUAUCUCAUCUGGAAAACUGCUGAAGCAGAAGGCAAAUAUUGAGCCUUCAUUGAUGUUGAACAUAUUUGUAACUUUAUGCCAGUGCUUGUGGAUGAUUGAUCGUUCAUCCUUCAUCCUCUUCAGGAACACUUCAAUAUUGAACCGUCAGUGUUGUAUGAAUACCUUCCUCGCCUCCUGGCCAUACAAGUGGUUUGAGUGGUAGUCAUCAGUGAACUACUUUGGAAAGGCCUGAAAACAAGGAUGUGCAUAAAUAUCUCUCUAUACUGGAAAUGGGGCAAAGGAAUAAAAAAGGCAAGGUAUAAUAGUUAGUACCAUCCUGUAGUCAACUGAUGUCUUCUUCAUUGUGCAGACAAAGAUCUUGUUGUUUUUUGUCGCUAAUUUCUUUAUCCUAACAAUCUUUCUAAGUUUCUUGACUUGACUAAUAUUCAUGGAUAACUCAUUUCCACAUAUGAAAAAAGGGUCGAACAGUGGGUCAAAACCUCUGACAACAGGACUUACAUGUGCAAGACCAAAUUGUUAAAAACCUAAAUAUUAGAAUGGUUCCUGCAAUUUCACAAUAAUGUGCUAUUAGAUAAUAGACCAUGCAUGUGCUAACCUCGAUUGUAAACGUCAGCGCUUCCCAUUGUUUCCCUACAACACAUAUAAGGUAUUUAGUCAUCAGGUUAAGUAAGGGUUCGCAUGCUAUCAGUAAAAUAUGUUGAUGAAAAAUAAGCACAUUGCAGAUUCAUCAGAUUAAUUCAAGCCACAUGGGAAAUCCAUUUAUCCAAACCAAGCAUGAUUAAGAACUAGGAAAUAUAGCACUUGUAUAAGUUUCUCAUGUAUUACGUGCAGCCAAAUUCGAUUUAUUCCUCACAUGCACAAUAAUAUAAAAUUCUACCCACGACAAUUGGACAUCACAUUGCAGAAUUUAACCAAGCAGUGAACUAAACACCACAACAAAUGAACCAACAUUAACUGAGCACCACAUUGCACAAUAUAACAUACUCCUAAUAGAAGAUUAGAUAGUUAACAAAACAGUUAACUACAACCAAUUGUAGCAAUUGUAUUUGUUUCUCAUGUAUUUACUACAGCCAAAUUCAAUUUAUUCCUCACAUGGCAUACAAUAAUAGAAUGCACCCACAACUAUUGAACAUCGCAUUGCAGAAUUGAACCAAACAGUUAACUAAACACCACAACACAAAUGGACCAAACGUUAACUGAGCACCACAUUGCACAAUGUAUAACCAAACGAAGCAUACUGGACAACUUGGAAAUAUAGCAAUUGUAUUUGUUUCUCAUGUAUUUUGUUAAGAAUAAAUUCGAUUUAUUUCUCACAUGGAAGAUAAUACAAAAUUGUAGCCUGAAGAAUUAAGCAUCACAUUUGCAGAAAUGAACCAAACAGUUAACUAAAGACAACAACUAACUAACAAAACAGUUAAUAAGUGAGCACCACACUGCACGACAUAUAGAACAUAUACACUAGAGCAACAGAUUGCAUGGUAAAAUUAGAUAGCACAAUUCACUAGAAUUUGUGAAGGAAAGGCAGGAGUAGCACACGCAAUGGGUAAACCGAGCAUGCUUAACCGACAUAGCUAGCAAAUGGCAAGGUGCUCCUUCAAGAUCUGGGGGUCGGCACGAAUGGCAGCCAUCGCGACCUCAUCCGCGCGUGCGUCCGUGAUUUGAUUCUCUGCUGCCAAAUGCUCCCUGAGGUCCUGGCUAUACUGCGUGCACCAUGGCUUAGGCUGGCGCUUAUUUUGUGGAGGGGUCGGUGAUUUGGGUAGAAGGUGUCGCGCUCGCGCCAGCGGUUGGGGCAUGUGGGAUGUGGAAGGAGGAGGAGGAUGGGGGUCGGGUGUGGAUUACCUGCUUGGAUAGGCGAGGCCGAGCAACAUGAAGGAGGGUCGCCGGCAAGGAGGUGGCGGCGCUGCAAGCAAGGAGUGAAGGUUUCAACUUGGAAAAGAAGGCGGAAAAAGGGGAAAUGUGGCUUUUGGUAAGGGGAGGAGGCAUGGAGGUAGAUAUUUCCGAGGAAGCCGAAGACUUGGAACCGCUUUAGCCAAAAAACUGGUGCGCAAAGUUUCAUCAGAUACGGUCCCUUAUUCAGACAUGGUCCGAAGAUAUUUUGUCCUGCAUCUCACACGGUUGGUUAUAAUAAACUGUGUGGGAUCUACUUGUUUUUUGUCUUGAUUUGAAUUACAUAAUGGGGUCACAGCGGCCAUGGACGGUGUUUCAAUUGCUAGAACUUUUAUCUGCAGUGAACAUGCAACUAUUGGUGCGUCGUCAAAAAAAUGGAAUUAUUCAAGGUUCGUUUGGAUAUUUUUAUACAUUAACUAGGUUUUCUAGGCAUUUUAUGCGCAUGAUUCAAAUUUGAACUACAUGCACAUGCUCCAGUGCACAUAAACUUGUUGAAAAAUCAAAUAUGUAUCCUUGGUUGCGUGCUUAGGUCCCAUGCAAGAAAUGGGAAUGAAUUUCAAGCACCCUGCCACCGUCAGUUCGCCGCACAUAUGGAGAUACAUGGUUUUUAAAUUCUAGUAAAUCCAAAACUUGUCUGAAAUUCAUGAAACUAGGCAUGCUAUCAUGGAGCGGCAUCAACAUGUCGUGGUAAAUUUUUUGUCUCAUUUGGGGCAGGUUUGGGUAUAAGCUUCUCACAAACUAGCGCUUCUCACAACAAGCAUGAUGGUUUCAUUGGGAACGCGCUACCUUUGGGGACAAAACAAUAUCUGUUGCCUCUUAUUGCUUUCAAAAAAUUCCGAGUGUCAACAUAGAACAACAAGAGUGUUGUGUUCAAUUUUGGAAUUUUUCGGGGUUCAUUUGGACAUUUUUAUACAUUAACUGGGUUUUCCAGGCAUUUUAUGUGCAUAGUUCAAACUUGAACUACAUGCACAUUCUCCAGUGCAUAUAAACUAGUUGAAAAAUCAAAUAUGUGUCCUUGGGUGCAUGCGUAGGUCCCAUGCAAGAAAUGGAAAUGAAUUUCAAACACCCUGCCACCGUCACUUGGCCACAAACAUUGAGAUACCUGGUUUUAAAUUCCAGUAAAUCAAAAACUCAUCUGAAAUUCAUGAAACUUGGCAUGCUAUCAUGGAGCAGCAUCAACAUGUUGUGGUAAAAAAUUUGCCCCAUUUGGGGCAGGUUUGGGUAUAAGCUUCUCACAAAUCAGAGCUUCUGACCACAAGCGUGAUGGUUUCAGUAGGGAACGUGCCACCUUUGGGGACGAAACGAUAUCUGUUGCCUCUUAUUGCUUUCAAAAAAAAUCCGAGUGUCAACAUAGAACAACAAGAGUGUUGUCUUCACUUUUGGAAUUUUUCGGGGUUCGUUUGGACAUUUUUAUACAUUAACUUGGUUUUCCAGGCAUUUUAUGCGCAUAAUUCAAAUUUGAACUACAUGCACAUUCUCCUAGUAUUGGCGUGGAGGAAAGGUAUUUCUUCAGGUCCUGUAGUGCGGCCUCGGCUUCUGGGGUCCACUCUAUUGGGCCCGCCUUUUUCAAGAUCUUGAAAAAGGGAAGGGCGCGCUCAGCGACUUGGAGAUGAACCGGCUCAUGGCGGCAACGUAGCCGGCGAGCCGACGCACAUCCUUGACCCGCUUGGGCACCUUGAUCUGCUGAAUAGCCUUGAUCUUGUCUGGUGUGAAAUUGAGCUCAGCUCAAUGUCCGACCAUGGCAGAAGAUAUAGAAGAGAUGAGUGUCAUCCCCUAUGCCUCAGCCAUAGGGUCUAUUAUGUAUGCCAUCCUGUGUACCAGACCUGAUGUAAACCUUGUCGUAAGUUUGGUAGGAAGGUACUAAAGUAAUCCCGGCAAGGAACACUCGACAGCGGUCAAGAAUAUCCUGAAGUACCUGAAAAGGAUUAAGGACAUGUUUCUCGUUUAUGGAGGUGACGAAGAGCUCGUCGUAAAGGGUUACGUCGACGCUAGCUUCGACACAGAUCUGGAUGACUCUAAGUCACAAACCGGAUACGUGUAUAUGUUGAAUGGUGGAGCAGUAAGCUGGUGCAGCUGCAAGCAGAGCGUCGUGGCGGGAUCUACAUGUGAAGCGGAGUACAUGGCAGCCUCGGAGGCAGCACAUGAAGCAAUUUGGGUGAAGGAGUUCAUCACCGACCUAGGAGUCAUACCCAAUGCAUCGGGGCCGAUCAAACUCUUCUGUGACAACACUGGAGCUAUUGCACUUGCCAAGGAGCCCAGGUUUCACAAGAAGACCAGGCACAUCAAGCAUCGCUUCAACUCCAUUCGUGAAAAUGUUCAAGAUGGAGACAUAGAUAUUUGUAAAGUACAUACGGAUCUGAAUGUCGCAGAUCCGUUGACUAAACCUCUCCCUAGGGCAAAACAUGAUCAACACCAGAACUCUAUGGGUGUUCGAUUCAUCACAAUGUAACUAGAUUAUUGAAUCUAGUGCAAGUGGGAGACUGUUGGAAAUAUGCCCUAGAGGCAAUAAUAAAAGGAUUAUUAUUAUAUUUCCUUGUUCAUGAUAAUUGUCUUUUAUUCAUGCUAUAAUUGUGUUAUCCGGAAAUCGUAAUACAUGUGUGAAUACAUAGACACCAACAUGUCCCUAGUAAGCCUCUAGUUGACUAGCUCGUUGAUCAAUAGAUAGUCAUGGUUUCCUGACUAUGGACAUUGGAUGUCAUUGAUAACGAGAUCACAUCAUUAGGAGAAUGAUGUGAUGGACAAGACCCAAUCCUAAGCAUAGCAUAAGAUCGUAUAGUUCGUUUUCUAGAGCUUUUCCAAUGUAAAGUAUCUUUUCCAUAGACCAUGAGAUCGUGUAACUCCCGGAUACCGUAAGAGUGCUUUGGGUGUACCAAACGUCACAAUGUAACUGGGUGACUAUAAAGGUAUACUACGGGUAUCUCCGAAAGUGUCUGUUGGGUUGACACGGAUCGAGACUGGGAUUUGUCACUCCGUAUGACGGAGAGGUAUCUCUGGGCCCACUCGGUAAUGCAUCAUCAUAAUGAGCUCAAAGUAACCAAGUGUUUGGUCACGGGAUCAUGCAUUACGAUACGAGUAAAGUGACUUGCCGGUAACGAGAUUGAACGAGGUAUUGGGAUACCGACAAUCGAAUCUCGGGCAAGUAACAGACCGGUUGACAAUGGGAAUUGUAUACGGGGUUGCUUGCAUCCUCGACAUCGUGGUUCAUCCGAUGAGAUCAUCGAGGAGAAUGUGGGAGCCAACAUGGGUAUCCAGAUCCCGCUGUUGUUUAUUGGCCGGAGAGCCAUCUCGGUCAUGUCUACAUGUCUCCCGAACCCGUAGGGUCUACAUACUUAAGGUUCGGUGAUGCUAGGGUUGUAGAGAUAUGAGUAUGUAGUAAUCCGAAAGUUGUUCGGAGUCCCAGAUGAGAUCCUGGACGUCACGAGGAGUUCCGGAAUGGUCUGGAGGUGAAGAAUUAUAUAUAGGAAGUGUAGUUUCGGCCAUCGGAAAGAUUCGGGGUCACCGGUAUUGUACCGGGACCACCGGAUGGGUCCCGGGGGUCCACCGGGUGGGGCCACCCAUCCCGGAGGGCCCCAUGGGCUGCAGUGAGGAGGGAAACCAGCCCACAGUGGGCUAGUGCGCCCCCCCCCCUUGGGCCCCUCUGCGCCUAGGGUUGGAAACCCUAGGGUGGGGGCGCCUCCACUUGCCUUGGAGGGCACUCCACCCCGUUGGCCACCGCCCCCUUGGGAGUUCCCAUCUCUAGGGCCAGCACCCCCCCAGGGGGCCUAUAUAAAGGGGGAGGAGGGAGGGCAGCCGCACCUCAAAGUCUUGGUGCCUCCCUCUCCCCUGCUACACCUCUCCCUCGCGCAGAAGCUCGGCGAAGACCUGCUGCGAUCACUGCUGCAUCCACCACCAUGCCGUUGUGCUGCUGGAUCUUCAUCAACCUCUCCUUCCCCCUUGCUGGAUCAAGAAGGAGGAGACGUCAUCCACUCCGUACGUGUGUUGAACGCGGAGGUGCCGUCCGUUCGGCACUAGGAUCUCCGGUGAUUUGGAUCACGACGAGUACGACUCCCUCAACCCCGUUCUCUUGAACGCUUCCGCUCACGAUCUACAAAGGUAUGUAGAUGCUCUCCGAUCACUCGUUGCUAGAUGAACUCAUAGAUAGAUCUUGGCGAAAUCGUAGAAAUUUUUUUAUUUUCUGCAACGUUCCCCAACAAGGCCCCCUCUCCGGGAUCCCUCAUUAAGCAAUUCCAAGUAAUAUCUCUUCUUGACGAUCUUUUUCUCGAUCUUGAUCGUGUUUUUCAUCUAACACGCCGUACUAUUAGUACAACUUUCUGGGUGAUCUUGCAUGUGAUUUUUCUGUGGCAAAUGACGGUUCUAAAUUCCUCUUUUUGACCAAAACAUGCGAGAGGUUGACACUCAUUUCUUAUAGAUUACUUUCAACUACUUUAUGAACAUCAAUGCUACCUUUGAAGAGAGUAUAUUAGCCUCAGUAACUUGUGUUAUGGAUAUUGCAAGUAAUCCAUCUGCUCUCAUGCCUUUGAAGACAUGAUAUAGUGUCUUUGUUCACUCAUUUAUGUGCGUAUAUGUGGUCUUAGAUGGAGUAAAAUAUCAAAAAUCAUCUUAUAUUUCUGAACGGAGGUUGUAAUAAAAUAUUUGGUUCCUAUUUGAAUUAGAACCAGGUCCGCGGUGGAGAUGAAGUUCUCAAAGUCAUGUCAUGUGAACUGGAAGACCUGAGGAUGAGUUCUACUACUAAACUAUCCAGCUGCUGUGUCCUUGUCGCCACGUGUCCUGAACUAGUGUUUUCCGGUAGCAUUGUUGUCAGUCGUGUUCACGAGGGUGUACUUCACCACAACAAUUUCCUGAUUGUGCCUUCGAUAAUGCAUGGUGUGGUUCUUGUAAAGCUUCUCGACAAAUCUGAUGCGGUAUAUCUUCAUCAUCAUGUUUAUGAGUGGAAAGACCCCUCUGUUAGGUUCUCCAAGGUUGACGAGAUGGUGAUGGUGCUGGUUCAUCCCGUAGGUCGGUGGCAUGAAAUAGUCUGUAGAGUUUAAUUAGUGCAACUUUGCUUGUCUGUAGUAAGUACUAUCGUUCAGUACUUGAUUUGUGUGUGUGAGCCCUAUAUUGUUUAGUAUGGCUGCUUUUGUUUUAUGGUGAGUCCUAAGAACAGUCUAUGUUAAUGUUUGUCCUCUCAAUUCAGUCUGUAUAUUUUGAAGUAUCCAGAUCAUCAUUUUUGUGAGGACGGUUUACCAAUUAUGGUUACACUGCAAUGUUUUUAUGCAUUGCAGGGUUUACCGCACCCACUAGGAUUUCCAGUCCCAUGAAUGUUCGGUUUAUACGAUUUGUCCCGACCUUUGGACUGUCCUGCUUGUGGGAGUAAGCGGGGACUUGCAAGCCACGCGUAAUUGGACGGUCAAUCUUCUGUUUAGAACUUCAACAUAGUUAUUUCCUGGUAAGGAUUCACUCGUGUCACAUCAAGUAAAUCUUAUUGAUUUACUGUCUAAAUCUUAUUGAUUUAAUGUCAUGUUUUCUUACUUUUGCUGCAAUUUUACGAUGCAACUUUUGCCAUGUGACAUUCGUCACAACCAUUUGGUUUGCUCUAUGAUGGUUAUUUUUGCAUGUUUCAGUUCUUAUAUCAUGUCAGUAACGAAGGCACUAUCUAUCACUUAUAUUACUGGACACAAUUGGAUUAGUCUGUUGUCUGAGUACAAUCUGAAGUCCUAUGAUGAAAUGCAAUUUGGUUUAACAAAAAUGCACCAUUAGUCCUUCUCGCAUUUAAAAGAAAUGAAGAAAAAGAUUGGAUCACUAUCACGGAGCCUAGUCAAGUUAGAAAGAUGAUCAUAGCAGACCAGAGACGAUGGUUGCUGUCUCGCACAUCGGUACAACCUUCAACAACGGAUUGUCAUGGGAAACCACUACCACCUAUGGGACUAGAGGGCCCCUUGUUGGUUCGGCAGGGGGACGUCGUGUUGCACAAAGAGCAGACGAGCAUGGGGUAGCAUGGCAGAGAUCACAUAAGAAAUUUUACCCAGGUUCAGGCCAUCGCGAGGAGUAAAACCCUACUCCUACAUUGGUGGAUUGAUGGUGGAAGAAUGGUGGUGGAUCAUAGUACACUUGCCCGGUAGGGGCGGUCGUGGCCAUGCACAUAUGGGUGUGUGUGUGUGUUAUCCAACCUUCUAACCCUCUCUACGGUUGCCAUGGGCCUCCUUUUAUAGAUUAAGGCAUUACCACAAUGGCAAAGUAGUCAUUAUGCACUGAUAAGAUAUCAAACAAUGUUAUCAUACCUAACUCUUCAGGCUGACAGGGUGCAUUAAAUGCACCGCUUAACGUCACGUCACUGGUUGCCCAGCAAGCCUUGCCAGGUUGUCUCGCCAGCUCCAUGCCUGCUCGCUUGACACUUUGCAGGACAGGUGUCAUCUGUAGGCCUUUCCUGUAGAAAGAGGCCGCCAUGUGGUAAAUGGCUGCCACUUAGUCACUUUGCGGCUUGACACGGCCGCACUGAUUCAUGAUGUGGGUCAUGGAGGACUGGUUGGGUGAGGUGGUUUUUCCAUCGUGAGCCCCGACAGGCCCUACUGGGGCGUCUUGGACUUCUUUUUCUGGGGGUGACCCCAUCCUUGUCGAGCUCGCCUUCCUGGCAAGUGAGGCUUUUCUCCUGGUGGUGUCUUGCUCUGUUGUCUUGAUCUUGGUCUUCUUGAUCCACAUGUUGGUCCUUCGAUGAUCUCGGUCUCUUGUACUAUGGCACGGUCUGUGUUGUACUCGUGUGCCCGUGCCUGUGCAUAGUCUAGGCAACAGACCCAGGGUUUGUUGCACCGACAGAAGCUCCCGGGCCUGCCCUGAUCGCGCUGCCGAGCGUCGUUGGGGUUGGCUUUAAUAAGUGCAUAGGCAGGGGUGUUGAAGAGGGUGGCAUAUUGAGGUCUUCUUUGCUUCUUCAUUAUUCUUGAGCUUGGAUCAGUUUCCAAUUUCCUCGUGCGUCGUGCGUAAUGCCAAUAGUGGUGGGGCUGCCCUUAUAAUGGCACGUGAAUGACUUUAACGCGUGGGGUAGAAAUUGUCAUUUCACUCUUCCCACCGCACUACCUUGGACAAGAGGGACAGGGAUAGGAGUUUACGAAGCACUUGUCUUUUUUCAAUCCUUAGGAAUUUUCCAAAUUUUAAUUAAAAUAAUGCAAUCUCUUGAGUCCAUGUUUGUGUUCUGUAAUGCUUGCACUUGUAUUACCAGCAUAUUAAUGAAAAAGAUGAACCUUGCCGGGAACUAGUGCACGUAUAUGUCCAUGCAGAGGUGAAAUGCCUCUUUGUUUUAAACAAACAAGUUUUCCGCGGCAACCCUUUUGAUUUUGUUGCCAGUGACCUGAGCCUUCCGGGCAAAAAAAUAAAGGGACCAGCCCCCCGCCAACUCUUUUCCAUCAAAGGCCACUACGACCACCCUGGAAGAAGCAAUGUUCCAGCCGGCUGGGAGCACCUAAGUUUCGAAGAGCGGUGAGGUUUUCUUAUGCACAAGUUUGAUCUUACAGAACACUUAUCGACAAGAGGUAGGACUUAUCUGUUUGUCUUGCCGGGGAUCACAGUGCCAGGCUAUCUUCUCAACUCCUUGUUGAUGCCAAGUUCACGGCAGGAACCCGCGGCCUCAUGCAGAUGAGAAUGAAUGUAGGAUGCGAUCCUAUCUAUAAGCAUAUGAAAAUGCUCAUGAAAUGCUUAUGCAGUGAUCUUGGGAUCCUUAUGCAUGCAUGAACCUUGGUCGGGGCCCCCUAGCGCUUCAUUUAUUUCUCUCUUGCUCUGGGUCAUCUCCCUGGCUAUGUACAUGGGGUUACAUGUAGCUAAGGCAAGGCAUGUACAAAAGGGUGGCUGCCGGGUAGGGCCCGACAGCUGCGCCUUAUGGGUAGAACUUGUGAAGAUGUUCAAUAUUCCAUUAGUUUUGCAAUUGAAUGCCAUCUCCGAUCUCCAGACGGACUGCGCCAGGUCUGGUGACUCGUACUACCCGUUAAGGGCCUUCCCACUUCGGCGUCAACUUGUUUGUACCCUUGGCGGACUGAACGCGCCUAAGGACAAGGUCGCCUUCCUCAUAGCACUGGGCAUGAACCCUGCGGCUAUGAUAGCGACGCAGGGCUUGCUGAUAGCAUGCAGCACACGUAGCAGCCCGGAGAUGGUUCUCCUCGAGUAGCACAACAUCGUCACGCUGGUGCUGAUCUUGCGCUACUUCAUCAUAGGCAAGCACACGAGGCAGCCCGUAAAUGAGUUCCAUGGGGAUAACUGCUUCUGCCCCAUAGACUAGGGAGAAGGGAGUCUGCCCGGUAGCUCGAUUUGGUGUCGUUCUAAGGGACUAGAGAUCGACCGGCAGCUCAUCAAUCCGCCGCCUGCUGUGCUUCUGUAGCGUAUCAAAGGUUCUUGUCUUGAGUCCUCACAUCACUUCAGUGUUCACCCUCUCAGCUUGCUCAUUGCUCCUUGGAUGUGCAACAUAGGCAAAUGAGAUCUUGCAUUCGAGGGCAUGAACUUAUUGCAUGAAGGUGCAGCUCGUAAACUGGCUGCCAUUGUCGGUAAUGAUCCUUGCCGGGACUCCAAAAUGACACACCAAUUCUUUCAAGAACUUGAUAGCUGAUUGAGCAGUCACCUUUCUCAUGACAGUCACUUCCGACCACUUUGUAAACUUGUCAAUAGCAACGAACAAGAAUUAAAAGCCCCCGAUUGCUCAGGGGAAAGGGUCGAGGAUGUCGAGCCCCCAGACCGAAAAUGGCCAUGAUAAAGGGAUCGUUUGAAGAGCUUGGGCAGGCAGGUGGAUGUUCUUGUAAUCGAACUGGCAGGCUUCACAUUUGGUGACUCGCUCGACUGCAUCUUGGAGGGUUGCGGGCCAAUAGAAUACUUGCCGGAAUGCUUUCCCAACUAAUGCCCUUGAUCCAAUGUGGGAGCCGCACAUGCCUUUGUGUAUGUCAGCCAGCAGUUUCUUUCCUUCUUCCUAGUAGAUGCACUUCAAUUUCACACCGUUCGACCUCCUUCUGUAUAGAGUGUCAUCGACAAGCUGAUACAUACUGGCCCUCCGGGCUACUCUUUCAGCUUCUUCUUGGUCGCUAGGAAGCUCUCCGGUUUGGAGGAAGUGUACUAUGUGCCUUGCCCAAUUUGGAGCUUGGGGCUCGGCAACGAGGACUAGCGGCACCUCCUCUACUAUGGGGGCACUUUCCUCGUUCAUGGGGACCAUGGGCCCGGCUGGAGGGUACGAUCCGGCAGGUGGUGAGUUGUUUCUGACAGGGUCUCUGCCAGGAGCGGGCGGCUCUACCGGGAGAGGCUUACUGGAGUCCAACUUUCUCCUUUUCUGGGCCAUUGUUGCUAGGGAUACGGAGGGCUAAGUAAGAUGGAGAACAAAAGUCCCUCGUUCCAUGGGAAGCUUCUGCACAGCACACUUGACAGAUCAUCAGCUAUGUUGUUUUCCACAUGGGGUACGUGCUCUGUUUGCAAUCCAUCAAAGUAUUCCUCCAAUCUUCUCACUUCCUUAACAUAUGACUCCAUCAAUGGGCUUUGGUAAUCCUUGUUGACUUGUCUCACCACAAGUUGUGAAUCUCCUCGAAUGAUUAGCUUCUUAAUUCCCAAUUAUGUGGCAAUCUUGAGCCCGGCAAGGAGCCCUUCAUACUCUGUUGUAUUGUUGGUUGCCUCUUCCCGGGCAAAAUGCAUUUGGACGACGUACUGAUACGUCUCCAACAUAUCUAUAAUUUUUGAUUGUUCCAUGAUAUUAUAUUAUUAACCUUUGAUGUUUUAAAUGCAUUUAUAUGCUAUUUUAUAUGAUUUUUGGGACUAACCUAUUAACCUAGAGCCUAGUGCUAGUUUCUGUUGUUUCCUUGUUUUGAGUAUCGCAGAAUAGGAAUACCAAACGGAGUCCAAUUGAUGUGCCAAUUUUUGAUGAUUUUUUAUGGACCAAAAGAAGCCCCCAGAGUAAAAGAGUUGGACCAAAAGAGUCCCGAGCUGUCCACGAGGGUGGGGGCACGCCCUACCGCCCUGGGCGUGGGCCCCUAUCUCGUGGACGAUCCGGAGAACCCCCCCGCCCCCGACGUGAGACCUAGGCCAAAAAUUCCUAUAAAUACAUAAACCCCCAACAAUAAACCUAGAUCGGGAGUUCCGCCGCCGCAAGCCUCCGUAGCCACCGAAAACUAAUCUAGACCCAUUUCGACACCCUGCCGAAGGGGGGGGGGGAAUCCCUCUCCGAUGGCCAUAUUCAUCAUCCCGGCGCUCUGCAUCAUGACGAGGGAGUAGUUCACCCUCAGGGCUGAGGGUAUGUACCAGUAGCUAUGUGUUUGAUCUCUCUCUCUCUCUCUCUCUCUUUCUCUCUCUCUCUCUCUCGUGUUCUUGAUUCGGAGAGAUCUUGAUGUAUCGCGAGCUUUGCUAUUAUAGUUGGAUCUUAUGAUGUUUCUCCCACUCUACUCUCUUGUAAUGGAUUGCGUUUUCCCUUUGAAGUUAUCUUAUUGGAUUGAGUCUCUAAGGAUUUGAGAACACUUGACGUAUGUCUUGCAUGUGCUUAUAUGUGGUGACAAUGGGAUAUCACGUGAUCCACUUGAUGUAUGUUUUGGUGAUAAACUUGCGAGUUCCGUGACCUCGUGAACUUAUGCAUAGGGGUUGGCACACAUUUUUGUCUUGACUCUCUGGUAGAAACUUUGGGGCACUCUUUGAAGUUCUUUGUGUUGGUUGAAUAGAUGAAUCUGAGAUUGUGUGAUGCAUAUCGUAUAAUCAUACCCACGGAUACUUGAGGUGACAUUGGAGUAUCUAGGUGACAUUAGGGUUUUUGUUGAUUUGUCUCUUAAGGUGUUAUUCUAGUAUGAACUCUAUGAUAGAUUGAACAGAAAGAAUAGCUUCGUGUUAUUUUACUAUGGACUCUUGAAUGGAUCGAUCAGAAAGAAUAACUUUGAGGUGGUUUCAUACCCUACCAUAAUCUCUUUGUUUGUUCUCUGCUAUUAGUGACUUUGGAGUGACUCUUUGUUGCAUGUUGAGGGAUAGUUAUAUGAUCUAAUUAUGUUAUCCUUGUUGGGAGAACUUGCACUAGUGAAAGUAUGAACCCUAGGCCUUGUUUCAAUGCAUUGCAAUAACAUUUACGCUCACUUUUAUCUUUAGUUACCUUGCUGUUUUUAUAUAUUCAGAUUUCAAAAACCUAUAUCUACCAUCCAUAUUGCACUUGUAUCACCAUCUCUUCGACAAACUAGUGCACCUAUACAAUUUACCAUUGUAUUGGGUGUGUUGCGGACAUAAGAGACUCUUUAUUAUUUGGUUGCAGGGUUGUUUGAGAUAGACCAUCUUCAUCCUACACCUCCCACGGAUUGAUAAACCUUAGGUCAUCCACUUGAGGGAAAUUUGCUAUUGUCCUACAAAACCUCUACACUUGGAGGCCCAACAACGUCUACAAGAAGAAGGUGGUGUAGUAGACAUCACGUACUUCAAGUGCUCCCCGGAGGGGGUGACAAGAAGCACCCCAGCCCUUGUACCUUGUAGGGAAAAGGUACAAUCGAAAUACAUAAUCCAUUCUUGGGGUGAUUCCUUUCCGGGGAUAACUGUCUCUGGUACUUCCUCAUCAGGGGUUGGCGUCCAUUCUGCAAUAAACUCUGCCAAUGCCCUGCUCUGGAUAGUUGAUGUGCUCUCAAACUUCAAACCAAAACUGGAUAACUCCAAAGACCACUCCACUAUUCUGCCGGUAGCCUCAGGUUUCGGAGUAUCGUUGGUAACGGGAAACGAGUGACAACCAUAAUCUCAUGAGCUUGGAAGUAGGGGCACAGUUUCCCUGAGGCCAUGAUGAGACCAAAGAUCUACUUUUUCAUGCCAGAGUACCUCGAUCCAGCCCCCUAUAACAAGGAGCUGAUGAAGUACACUGGGCGUUGCACCACUUUCUUCCUUGCCAUGUCCUUGGGGUUGCUCUCGCUCCUGUGUUCAUUGUUGUCUUGAUCCUUCUCUGGCUCUGUCGGUCCUUCCUCACUCUCUGCCUCAUCCACUUCCCGCUACGCAACCAAGGCUACACAAACCACUUGGUUGGUUUCCGCUAAGUAUAGCAGCAAUGGCUCUUGUGGUUUGGGAGCAACCAGGGUAGGAAAAGAGGACAAGUAGGUCUUCAACUCUUGCAAAGCUGCAUCUGCUUCCAGAGUCCACUUCGUGGGCCCUACCUUCUUCAAAAUUUUGAAGAAUGGCAGGGCGUGCUCUGCAGACUUGCAGAUGAAUCUACUUAGCGCGGCAACGCAUCCUGUCAGAUGCCUCACAUCCUUAACUGUCCAUAGCGCCUGGAUCUGCUUGAUAGCUUUAAUCUUGUCAGGGUUGGCUUCGAUCCCCCGAUGGGAUACAAAGAACCCAAGAAGCUUGCCAGAGGGAACACCAAACACACACUUCUUCGGGUUGAGCUACAAGUUGAUCUUGCGCAGAUUAGCAAAUGUCUCCUCCAAAUCCUGAAAAGGGUGGCUCUAUCCUUGGUCUUAACCCACAAUACCAUCCAUAUAAGCUUCAAUGUUUCUGUGCAGCUAUGUCUCAAAACCAAUCUGGACUGCCCUUGCAAAAGGGGACCCGACACUCUUUAAACCAAAUGGCAUGUGGAUAAAAUAGUACGUACCGCAUGGAGUGAUGAGCGAUGUCUUCUCUUCGUCUUCCUUGGACAUGAACAUUUUGUGAUACCCAGAAUAUGCAUCCAGAAAGGAGAGCAAAUCGCAGCCUGAAGUAGAAUCCACAAUCUGAUCGAUACGUGGAAAGGGGAAUGGGUCCUUCGGGCAAGCUUUGUUGAGAUCUAUGAAAUCUAUGCAAAGCAUCCACUUCCCGUUAGCCUUUCGGACUACCACUGGAUUUUCUGACCAUGUGGGAUGUAGAACUCCUCUGACCAUACCAGCUGCUUCAAGUUUCUUGAUCUCUUCCGUAAUAAACUGCUACCUCUCCAAGGCCCGCUUCCUUCUGCUUCAUAGGUCGGGCAUGUGGGCAAACAACAAGGUGGUGCUCGAUUACCUCCCUGGGAACAUCGGGGAUAUCAGAUGGUGGCCAGGCAAACACAUCGAUAUUCGCCCGCAGGAAGGCAAUGAGCAUGUUUUCCUAUUUGUCAUCGAGGGUGGCGCUGAUAGUGAAAGUACCAUCAACGCCAGCUAGCCUACCAGGACCUUUUUCACUUGGGGUGCAGUGACCUUAGAUCUCUUGCUGUUGGAGCACUCCGGUAAGUCAUUGAUAGGCACAGUGCACUCCCAAGAAGUACGCUUCCCGGAUUUCUUGCCAGCGUCAUUGCUACCCUUCUUGUUUCCUCUAUCCUCCUUGGCGGGAACUGCUGCUGCCGCUGCCUCUAUCGCGACUGCGUCCCAGUACAUCUUGUCCAUGCAAAUUAUAGCAUCCUUCUUGUCUGAUGGGAUGGUAAUGACUCCCACAGGCCCAUGCAUCUUCAAGGUGUUGUAGGCAUAGUGGAAUGCCGCCAUGAAUUUAGCUAGGGUUGGGCGUCCAAGAAUCCCAUUGUACGGUAGGAGGAGGUCGACCACAUCAUACACAAUCUUCUCAGUCCGGUAAUUCAGCUCUCCCCAAAUGUCAUCGGCAACGUGAUCUUUCCCUUAGGAUGACUCCUGCCAGGAUUAACUCCUUGAAAUGUGUCGGUGGCCUUUAACUCAUCUUCUGCUAUAUGAAGUUUGCUGAUGACUGCCGGGGAAAUCAGAUUCAACCCGGCCCCGCCGUCCACCAACAUUUUUUUGACCUUUGAGUAUGCGAAUUGUUGGAGAGACCAACAAUGGAAAACACCCUACCACUGUGGGUCGGUUAGGAUGAUCCUCUUCGUCAAAGAUGAUGGGCGUGCGUGACCAUUUGAGCAGCUUCCAGGCCUUUGGCGUUGGUUCCACGGCAUUGACUUCUCGUGCCCACCGUUUGAGCUGGUGGUGAGAGGUGUGCGAAGAUGCACCCCCUCACGUCAAUGCAUAGGGCGUCAGUGGCCUUCUGAAACUCCUGCUCACUGGUUUUCUCUUCAUCCCCUCCAUCACUCUCACCAUCACAGAUCUCCUUAUCUCGACCUCUGGCUGGUUUUCCUUGGUUCAGAAGGGUUUGCCGGGGCGGUUUACUUCACCGCCUCGGCCCUUACCACGAGCGACAUUCCGACCUUUUUCCUUGUCGCGCUUCUCAUACUCUGCUCUCUAUCUCUUAACAAGCUCUCAACCUGCUAACACUCUUGAAGGUUGUGGCCUUUGGUCCGAUGAAUCUUGCAAUACGGCCCAUCACCUUUCCCGGCUUUCUCGGCAGCCAUGGUCUCCCGACAGUCAGCGCACAUGGCAGCUUCCUUGUCGAGGACUUCAGCUUUGGCUUUCUUGCUGGUACUAGGCGUACCUGAUAUUUCAACACUCAUCACUGCCUUAUCCUUCCGCUUCUUACUGUGCUUCUGGCUCUUCUUCUGACUGGUUGAUUCAUCAUCAUCCUCUGAAUCGAUGUUGGUGCAAUCUUCCUCUCCGGGCAACUUCCUUCCCUCCUCCAUUAGAGCACACUUAUCCACCAAGGUGUAGAGCUUCUUCACAGUCUUGGGAAACCGCACGUUUAUCUUGGAACGAAUCCAGUGGUCGCGCACAUGGGACUGGAAGGGAGCUAUCACAGCUGCCAGAUGGAUAUUUGGGAUGUUCCUAUGGACCUUGCUGAAUCUCUGUAAAUAUUUAUGGAGGGUCUCUCCUUCCUUCUGUUGGAGAAGCUGCAAGUCGCUGGGUCAACCUGGCUCUUGAUGGCCGACAAUGAAGGCUCCAAUGAACUCGUGGCACAGGUCAGCCCAUGACGAAAUGGAGUUCUCCCGCAGGUGCAUCAACCAACACAUCGCAUUGGACUUGAGGGACAAAGGGAUGUAGUCGGAAAACGCCAGCUCAUCUCUUCCCCCGGCAGCAUGAACAUCGAUGCUGUAGAUGCUCAGAAACUCUGUCGGGUUCAGCCUCCCAUCGUACUUCUCGGGUAUCUCUGGCUUGAACGUACGAACGGAUAGUCAAUGGACUUGCCGCAGCUCAUGAGUAAAGGUAGGGCACCCAUCCUUGAAAGGUAGGCACAUGCCAAUACCGAGCGGAGGCUCGUCGACGUCGGGGCCAUCGCACCCGUUGGUCUGGCGAUGGUUGUCGUGGCGUCGCUCGACGAUGGCGCAUGCGUCUCCCCCCUCCCCUCCUCCCGCCUAUCCUCCGGGGCUUGCCGUUAGCCUGGACACGCUCGAGGGUCAGAAGAGGCCAUAGAGACGUUGUCAGGGUCUUGAUUCUGCUGCGGUCGCGCUGGCUGCCGUGGUGGGGACUAGCAGCAUGAGCCAUCAUCGUCGCUUGGGGUGGCCGUGGUGGGCCAGCUCGCUGUGAGCCCCAGGUAGACUUUGGAUGGUGGCACGCCAUUCGUCCAUCUUCUUGGCCGCUGGAAGAAGACUCAGCAGCAGCUGAGCCUGUGCCAUGGCCUUCGUGACUGUACUUGGCAUGGGUGAUGAUGAGGUAGAUCACACCGUCGCUUGGCUCCUGAUGGUGCUAGUGGCGGCAGCACCGUGCGCCCACUGUUGCGGUGCGGCCACAUAGAUGGCAGGGUGGUGCGGUGAAGGCGCUCGAGGGCCAGUGGCUCCAUCGGGCGCAACGACUUGGUCGACCCGUCCCGGGGGAGGCGCACGCGUUGCGGUCACUCCCGUGGUGGUGGUGGCUGGAGGGCAGUGAUUUGCCCCGGACCGAGUGCCGUUGCUGCAGUUGUGCCUGUCGGCGAGAGGAGGGUGCACGGACGGAGUAACCCCCUCACCCGUACCUUGUGGAGCGUGGCCGUCGGAGCGCUGUUGAUGAUGCUCUCCUACGGUGUUUCCCGCUCCUGCGUCAGCUAUGAGGGAAGUGGUGACAGUGCCUCUUGAUCCAACCACAUCCCCCAUAGCGUCCAUGUCCUCGCGUGCCCCCGUAGCGUCACAGGCCGCGUGUGGCAGAGCCUUUGAGGUGGAUGGAUGAGCCAAAGCACCAGAUUUCUUCUUGGGCGCCAUAGUCGAUGGCACUGUCGAAGGUGAAAAUGGUGAUGAAGAUGAUGUGCUGUACAUGCUUACAGGUUCGCACAAGCGAUCCCCCUACCUAGCGCACCAAAGAUGUCGUGGGAAACCACGACCACCUAUGGGAAAAGAGGGCGCCUUGCUGGUUCGGCAGGGGGACGUCACGAUGCACAAAGAGCAUCUGUAGGCAUUUCCUGUAGAAAGAGGCCACCAUGUGGCAAAUGGCUGCCACUUAGUCACUUUACGGCUUGACACUGCACUGAUUGAUUAUGUGGGUCGUGGAAGAGUGGUUGGGUGAGGUGGUUUUGCCUCCGUGAGCCCCGGCAAGCCCCUGCCGGGGCAUCAUGGACGUCUUCUUCCCGGGGUGACCCCGUCCUUAUCGAGCUCCCCUGCCCGGCAAGGGAGGCUUUUCUCGUGGUGGUGUCUUUCUCUUCUAGCUUGAUCUUGGUCUUCUUGUUCUGCAUGUUGGUCCUUUGAUGAUCUCGAUCUCUUGUACUCUGGCACGGUCUGGUGUUGUACUCUUGUUCCCGUUCCUGUACACAGUCUGGGCAACAGACCCAGGGUUUGUUGCAUCGACACAGAUAGAGCACCGGCACCUUCUAUGAUGGCACAUGCUCUAGCACUGACAGCGGCAGCAGCUUAGUCUGAUCCACCUGAGGAUUGGGCACCGACCGCAUCAGCGGAUCAGGAUGAUCUACCGGAGGAUUGAGUAUCGACACCAGCACUAGCUCCACAAGGAGAACCAUCUCCAGCAGCAGCAGCUGCACUACCAGUCGCACCAGCAACAACUCCAGCACCUGCACCAACACUUGAAGUUGCACUCGCAUCUACUGUGGCCCGUGCAGCGGCAACGGAACCAGUAGUUGCACCGGCAAUAGACUGGGUGCUACCUCUUGAGCAUGUGUUGGUUUUCCCUUGAGGAGGAAAGUGUGAUGUAGCAAAGUAGCGUAAGUAUUUCCCUCAGUUCUUGAGAACAAAGGUGUCAAUCCAGUAGGAGUCUACAUGAAAGUCGCCUAGUACCUGCACAAACAAUCAAGAACUUCGCAACCAACACGAUAAAGGGGUUGUCAAUCCCUUCAUGGUCACUUACGAAAGUGAGAUCUGAUAAAGAUGAUAAGAUAAAUAUUUUUGGUAUUUUUGUUGUAUAGAUUGAAAUGUAAAUAUUUCAAAAUAAAAUAAAUAGUAAACUAGAAUUGUAGAUCGGUAACUUAUAUGAUACAAAAUAGACCCGGGGGCCACAUGUUUCACUAGUGGCUUCUCUCAUGAUAGCAAGUAUUAUGGUGGGUGAACAAAUUACUAGCGAGCAAUUGAUAGAAAAGUGCAUAGUUAUGAGAACAUCUAGGCAUGAUUAUGAAAUAUAGGCAUCACGUCUAUGUUAAGUAGACCGAAACGAUUCUACAUCUACUACUAUUACUCCACACAUCGACCGCUAUCCAGCAUGCAUCUAGAGUAUUAAGUUCAUAAGAACAAAGUAAUGCUUUACGCAAGAUGACAUGAUGUAGAGGGAUAAACUCAAGCAAUAUGAUAUAGACCCCAUCUUUUUACCCUCGAUGGAAACAAUACAAUACGUACCUUACUACCCGUACUGUCACUGGGAAAGGACACCACAAGAUUGAACCCGAAGCUAAGCACUUCUCCCAUUGCAAGAAAGAUCAAUCUAGUAGGCCAAACUAAACCAAUAAUUCGAAGAGACUGGCAAAGAUAUCAAAUCAUGCAUAUAAGAAUUCAGAGAAGAACCAAAUAUUGUUCAUAGAUAAACUUGAUCAUAAAUCCACAAUUCAUCGGAUCUCGGUGAACACACCGCAAAAUAAUAUUACAUCGAAUAGAUCUCCAAGAACAUCGAGGAGAACUUUAUAUUGAAGAUCAAAGAAAGAGAAGAAGACAUCUAGCUAAUAACUAUGGACCCGAAGGUCUGUGGUAAACUACUCACACAUCAUCGGAGAGGCUAUGGUGUUGAUGUAGAAGACCUCCGGGAUCGAUUUCCCCUCUGGUAGAUCGCCGGAAAAGGCCCCCAGAUGGGAGCUCAUGGGUAUAGAAGGUUGCGGCGGUGGAAUAGUGGUUUCAUGGCUCUCCUUGAUGUUUUUAGGGUAUAAGAGUAUAUAUAGACGAAAGAAGUACGUCGGUGGAGCUCCGUGGGGCCCGCGAGGGUGGGGGCGCGCCUACCCCCUUGAGCAUGCCCCUGCCUCAUGGAAGCUUCACAGACUUCUAGACUUGUACUCCAAGUCUCCUGGGUUGCGUUUAUUCCAAGAAAGAUCCUCGCGAAGGUUUCAUUCCGUUUGGAUUCCGGUUUGAUAUUCCUUUUCUGCGAAACACUGAAAUAUGCAAAAAAACAUAAACUGGCACUAGGCCUCCGGUUAAUAGGUUAGUCCCAAAAAUAAAAUAAAAGUGCAUAUUAAAGCCCAUUAAACAUCCAAAACAGAUAAUAUAAUAGCAUGGGACAAUCAAAAAUUAUAGAUAUGUUGGACACGUAUCAGCAUCCCCAAGCUUAAUUCCUGCUCGUCCUCGAGUAGGUAAAUGAUAAAAACAGAAUUUUUGAUGUGGAAUGCUUCCUAACAUAAUUUUCAAUGUAAUUUUCUUUAUUGUGGCAUGAAUAUUCAGAUCCGGAUGAUUGAAGACAAAAGUUUAAUAUUGACCUAAGAAUAGUAAUACUUCAAGCAUACUAACCAAGCAAUUAUGUCUUCUCAAAAUAACAUAGCCAAAGAAAGCUCAUCCCUACAAAAUCAUAUGGAUUGGCCAUGCUUCAUUUUCUUCACACAAACUGCUCCUAUCAUGCACAACCCCGACGACAAGCCAAGCAAUUGUUUCAUACUUUAGUAUUCUAAAACUUUUUCAACUUUCAUGCAAUGCAUGAGCGCGAGCCAUGGACAUAGUACUAUAGGUGGAAUAGAAUAUGAUGAGGGAGGUUGUGUGGAGAAGACAAAAAGGGAGAAAGUCUCACAUUGACGCGGCUAAUCAACGGGCUAUGGAGAGGCCCAUCAAUUGAUGUAAAUGCGAGGAGUAGUGAUUGCCAUGCAACAAAUGCACUAGACCUAUAAAUAUAUGAAAGCUCAACAAGAGAAACUAAGUGGGUGUGCAUCCAACUUGCUUGCUCACGAAGACCUAGGGCAUUUUGAGGAAGCCCAUUGUUGGAAUAUACAAGCCAAGUUCUAUAAUGAAAAUUCCCACUUGUAUAUGAAAGUGAAAAAAUUAAGAGACUCUCUAUUAUGAAGAUCAUGGUGCUACUUUGAAGCACAAGUGUGGAAAACUGAUAGUAACAUUGUCCCUUCUCUCUUUUUCUCUCAUUUUUGGGGCCUUCUCUUUUUUUAUUUGGCCUUUCUCUUCUUUUUUUAUUUCCUCAUAGGGGACAAUGCUCUAAUAAUGAUGAUCAUCACACUUCAAUUUAUUUACAACUCAAAAUUACAACUCGAUACUAGAACAAAAUAUGACUAUAUGAAUGCCUCCGGCGGUGUACCGGCAUGUGCAAUGAUUCAAGAGUGACAUGUAUAAAAAAUUAUGAGCGGUGGCUUUGCCACAAAUAUGAUGUCAACUACAUGAUCAUGCAAGGCAAUAUGACAAUGAUGAAACAUGUCAUGAUAAACGGAACGGUGGAAAGUUGCAUGGCAGUAUAUCUCGGAAUGGCUAUGGAAAUGCCAUAAUAGAUAGUUAUGGUGGCUGUUUUGAGGAAGAUAUAAGGAGGCUUAUGUGUGAUAGAGUGUAUCAUAUCACGGGGUUUGGAUGCACCAGCGAAGUUUGCACCAACUCUCAAGGUGAGAAAGGGCAAUGCACGGUAACGAAGAGGCUAGCAAUGAUGGAAGGGUGAGAGUGCGUAUAAUCAUGGACUCAGCAUUAGUCAUAAAGAACUCACAUACUUAUUGCAAAAAUAUACAAGUCAUAAAAAACCAAGCAGUACGUGCAUGCUCCUAGGGGUAUAGAUUAGUAGGAAAAGACCAUCGCUCAUCCCCGGCUGCCACUCAUAAGGAGGACAAUCAAAGAAACACCUCAUGCUUUAAAUUUGUUACACAAAGGUUACCAUAUGUGCAUGCUACUGGACUUGCAAACCUCAACACAAGUAUUUCUCAAAUUCACAAAUAAUCAACUAGCAUGACUCUAAUAUCACCAUCUUCAUAUCUCAAAACAAUCAUCAAGUAUCGAACUUUUCAUAGUAUUCAAUGCACUCUAUAUGAAAGUUUUUUAUUAUACCCAUCUUGGAUGCCUAUCAUAUUAGGACUAAUUUCAUAACCAUAGAAAAUUAUCAUGCUGUUCUAAAAGACUCUCAAAAUAAUAUAAGUGAAACAUGAGAGGUCAAUAAUUUCUAUAAAAUAGAACCACCACCGUGCUCGAAAAAGAUAUAAGUGAAGCACUAGAGCAAAAUUAUCUAGCUCAAAAGAUAUAAGUGAAGCACAUAGAGUAUUCUAAUAAAUUCCGAUUCAUGUGUGUCUCUCCCAAAAGGUGUGUACAACAAAUAUUAUUGUGGUAAACUAAAAAGCAAAGACUCAAAUCAUGCAAGACGCUCCAAGCAAAACACAUAUCAUGUAGUGAAUAAAAAUAUAGCCUCAAGUAAAGUUACCGAUAGUCAAAGACGAAAGUGGGGAUGCCUUCCGGGGCAUCCCCAAGCUUAGGAUUUUGGUUGUCCUUGAACUUUACCUUGGGGUGCCUUGGGAAUCCCCAAUCUUAGGCUCUUCCCACUCCUUGUUCCAAAAUCCAUCAAAUCUUUACCCAAAAACAUGAAAACUUCACCACACAAAACUUAACAGAAAAUCUCAUGAGCUCCGUUAGUAUAAGAAAACAAACCACCACUUUAAUGUAUUGUAAUGAACUCAUUAUUUAUUUAUAUUGGAGUUAAACCUACUGUGUUCCAACUUCUCUAUGGUUCAUACCCCCCGAUACUAGCCAUAGAUGCAUCAAAAUAAGCAAACAACACACGAAAAACAGAAUCUGUCAAAAACAAAACAAUUUGUAGCAAUCUCGAGGUUUCGAAUACUUCUGUAACUCCAACAAUUCUGAAAAAUUAGGAAGACCGAAAUAAUUUUUAUAUUGAUAUACUGCAGUUGGAAUUUGUAUUUUAUCUCUCUUUGGUAAAAAAAUGAAAAUUAUUCUCGUGAGCACAUACUUUCUGUUUUUAUCUGCAAGAUCAAACAACAAUCACCCAAGAAGAUCCUAAAGGCUUUACUUGGCACAAACACUAAUUGAAACAUAAAAAACACAAUCAUAAUAGAGGAUAGAUUAUUUAUUUAUUACUAAACAGGAACAAAAAGCAAGGAACAAAAAUAAAAUUGGGUUGCCUCCCAACAAGCGCUAUCGUUUAACGCCCCUAGCUAGGCAUAAUAUUUCAAAGAUGCUCACACGGAAGAUAAUAAUUGAGACACAAAUAGAGCAUCAUGAAACAUGUGACAAACACAUUUAAGUAUAAAACACUUCCUAUGCAUAGGAAUUUUAUAUGGAAACAAAUUUUCAAGAUAAGAAAUAUCUAGCAUGUGCAAAGGGGAGGAAUAAAACAUUGACAAUCUCAACAUAACGAGAGGAAAUUUAACAACAUGAAAAUUUCUACAACCAUAUUUUCCUCUCUCAUAAUAAUUACAUGUGGGAUCAUAAUAAAAUUCAACAAAAUAGCUAUCACAUAACAAAUUCUCAACAUGAUCCACAUGCAUGCGAAGUUGACACUCUUCCAAAAUAGUGGGAUUAACAUUAACUAAAGUCAUGACCUCUCCGAACCCACUUUUAUCAAAAAUUGCAUAAGAUUGAACAUUCUCCAAAUAUGUGGGAUCUAAAGUUGACACUCUUCCAAACCCACUUUCAAUAAUAUUGCAAACACUAUUAUCAAUCUCAUAUUCAUCAUGGAGCUUAAAUAAAUUUUCAAGAUCAAAAGAAGAAUAACCCCAAUCAUGAUCAUUGCAACAAGUAGUGGACAUAGCAAAACUAGCAUCCCCAAGCUUGAGGUUUUGCAUAUCAUUAACACAAUUGACAUCAAUAGAAUUUAUAAUAACAUCAUUGCAAUCAUGCUUUUUAUUCAAAGAUCUAUCGUAAAGUACUUCAUCACAAUUUUCAGAUUCACGAAUUUCAAGCAAAACCUCCUAAAGAUAAUCUAGUGCACUCAACUCACUAGCAAUUGGUUCAUCAUAAUUGGAUCUUUUAAAAAGAUUAGCAAGAGGAUGAGGAUCCAUAACAAUAGAUAUUUAGCAAGCGAAUAUGCAAGCUAAUAGAAGGCACAUGGUAACACGAGCAAAUAGAAGGACAAACGGAAGAGGGCGAAUAAAACGACAAAGGUGAAGUGGGGGAGAGGAAAACAAGAGGAAAAUGGCAAAUAAUGUAAUGCGAGGGAAAACAGUUUGUUAUGGGUACUUGGUAUGUCUUUACUUGAGCGUAGAUCUCCCCGGCGACGGCGCCAGAAAUCCUUCUUGCUACCUCUUGAGCAUGCUUUGGUUUUCCCUUUUAGAGGAAAGGUUGAUGCAGCAAAGUAGCAUUAGUAUUUCCCUUGGUUUUUGAGAACCAAGGUAUCAAUCCAGUAGGAGACUACACGCAAGUCUCCUAGUACCUGCAUAAACAAUCAAGAACCUUGCAACCAACGCGAUAAAGGGGUUGCCAAUCCCUUCACGGUCACUUACGAACGUGGGAUCUGAUAAAGAUAAUAAGAUAAAUAUUUUUGGUACUUUUGUUGUAUAGAUUGCAAAAUAAAAUAAAUAGUAAACUAGAAUUGUAGAUUGGAAACUUAUAUGAUAUAAAAUAGACUCGGGGUCCAUAGGUUUCACUAGUGGCUUUUCUCAUGAUAGAAAGUAUUACGGCGGGUGAACAAAUUACUGCCGAGCAAUUGAUAGAAAAGUGCAUAGUUAUGAGAAUAUCUAGGCAUGAUUAUGAAAUAUAUGCAUCACGUCCGUGUUAAGUAGAACGAAACGAUUCUGCAUCUACUACAUUUACUCCACACAUCGUCCUCUAUCCAGCAUGCAUCUAGAGUAUUAAGUUCAUAAGAACAGAGUAAUGCUUUAGGCAAGAUGACAUAAUGUAGAGGGAUAAACUCAAGCAAUAUGAUAUAAACCCCAUCUUUUUAUCCUCGAUGGAAACAAUACAAUAUGUGCCUUGCUGCCCCUACUGUCACUGGGAAAGGACACCGCAAGAUUGAACCCAAAGCUAAGCAGUUCUCCCAUUGCAAGAAGGAUCAAUCUAGUAGGCCAAACUGGAUCGAUAAUUCCAAGAGACUUUCAAAGAUAUCAAAUUAUGCGUAUAAGGAUUCAGAGAAGAACCAAAUAUUGUUCAUAGAUAAACUUGAUCAUAAAUCCACAAUUCAUCAGAUCUCGGCAAACACACCGCAAAAGAAUAUUACAUCGAAUAGAUCUCCAAGAACAUCGAGGAGAACUUUGUAUUGAAGAUCAAAGAGAGAGAAGAACCCAUCUAGCUAAUAACUAUGGGCCCAAAGGUCUAUGGUAAACUACUCACACAUCAUCGAAGAGGCUAUGGUGUUGAUGUAGAAGCCCUCUGUGAUCAAUUCCCCCUCCUACAGAUUGCCGGAAAAAGCCCCCAAAUGGGAUCUCACGGGUACAGAAGGUUGCGGCAUGGAAGAGUGGUUUCGUGGCUCUCCUGGAUGUUUUAGGGUAUAAGAGUAUAUAUACGCGAAAGAAGUACGUCGGUGGAGCUCCAUGGGGCCCACGAGGGUGGGGGCGCGCCCCCUGCCUCAUGGAAGCUUCGUGGACUUCCAGACUUGUACUCCAAGUCUCAUGGGUUGCAUUUGUUCCAAGAAAGAUCCUCGCAAAGGUUUCGUUCCGUUUGUAUUCCUUUUUUGUGAAACGCUGAAAUAAGAAAAAAAAUAGAAACUGGGACUGGGCCUCCGGUUAAUAGGUUAGUCCCGAAAAUAAUAUAAAAGUGCAUGUUAAUGCCUAUUAAACAUCCAAAACAGAUAAUAUAAUAGCAUGGAACAAUCAACAAUUAUAGAUACGUUGGAGACGUAUCAUCGGGCUACAGUUCACACUGCAUAUACCAAAGUCCUUACAAAAGCCGACAUUUCCUCCUUCUUGGUCAGCAUUGGCCACCCAAGUGCUUCGUUCUUUUUUCUUUCCAUGUUGUUUCACAUGAUUCACUAUGUUGAUGUAACUUUUUGUGUAUGUCUUCUUGUUUGCAAACAAAGAAUUCCUAGAGCAACGAGGGAGUCAUUCAACAAUCUGCAUGACCUUGGCCAAGUUUCUCUUACCAUGCGUAGCCUUGGUGUGAAUGAACCUACUCAAUAUACAGUAAGUACAAAGGAUGGUCACAUGAUGAUUGAUGCUAAAGGAUGGUCAAGGUUAAAAUCUAAAUGAAAUCUUGCUAUAGGGGAUAAUGUCAAAAUCGAACUUUCUCAGCAAGGAGAGCUGGUCCAAAUCAACUUUGAAAUUCUUUAGUAGUAGCAUGCAAUUGCCGAACUGAUCUAUCCUCCGAGAGAUUUUGAUGUAAUAAUAUGGCAUGGUGAAACAAGUGUCAUGUGUGUAUAAGUAGUACGACAGUAUUAUUUAUCACGUAGGAUAUCAUGAAAGAAUUGCAACUCUGAUUGUUAGUUAGGAACUAUUGUUCGAUUUCAUUCUGACAGCUGUCGUGCUUUAUUCAAUUUUCUGUAUUCGCCUUAUGACAACAUCUAAAAUGAGUGUCGUACCGAUCACUUGCAAUAUGAAAUGCACCGAGUUAGAACACAUGGGCCCCAAAACAUGCAGGCCCACCGGCCUGUGGCCCAAAGUCAAAAACCAUGAGCUUGUCUGAGUAUUAUAUUCUCAGUUGAACCCCCAUAUUUUGAUAUAUAUAUAUAUAUAUAUAUAUAUAUAUAUAUAUAUAUAUAUAUAUAUUCCCCUUAAUUUUUCUUAUGCAUAAAGUUGUGAUAUGAAAUAUUUUUAUAUUUCUUUACAGAGGGAGUAUCUCUUUGUCAAAAAAAUAUUUAUGUGUAACUAGUUACUCCAGCCUUUCUACUUCCUUUCGCUGAUAUGUGGGGCAUCCAGCAAUGGGGUCCAUGUGCCAUGCACCAAAUUAGAGUGCACAACUGGAAGGUAGACUCACCCUGGUCGUAGCGCCGCAGUAAUGCGCAAUGUGCCGUCAAAUCACAAAAAAAAACCCACCUUUCCAACUUUGGCAGUAAGCUGGACAGACGAAGCAGCAACAUUUCACUAGGCUUGAAUCCCCUUCUCCCUCGUAUGCUUGUUUAGAGACAACCCCCUCUCGGCGAUUGCAUAGGGUUUUCUCAUGAAGAACUAGGUACGAAUUCUUCAUCCAUCCCCGAUAAAAUCCAAGUUCACUACAAGAAAUAUGUCAACUUGUGACCUUGACUAUUGGUCACUGAACGGUCAUUGUUUUUCAUUUGCGACCUUUUUGUGACCAAAAACAGAAGGUCAAAAGCUGGCGGUCGUAAACUAAAAUUAACGACCUUUUCUGUGAGAAGGUCGUAGACGUUUACGACCAAAAUAUGCCUAUUGUUUUGCUUUGGUCACUAGCAGCCUCCCCAGACCAUGUAGGCAUCCGACGUGGCAAUCUGGCGUGGCAAAAUUGCGACCAAUUGAGAAGGUCGUUGAUAAGAUUCAGCCCGGUCCGAUUGGGUGUUUUACAUAGGCCAGGCCCAACAAUUCGGCCUUUUUAUAUUAUUUUUCCGUCAAUUUUUGAUCGGCUUCAUGGGCCAAGCCCAUUAUUGCAGCCUUUUUAUUUCCAGGGUCGUGAUCCUUUUUUAGACCAUUUCUUUUUUUGUUCACAUCUAUUUCUCAAUUGGACCUCGGCCUUUUUACAGUCCAUUUCCUUAGUUUUUAGUUUUUUUCCUGUAAAUAUUAUUUGGAAAAUUGCCUUUUUAUAUGCCAAAUACUAUUAGGUCCCACUUGUCGGGUUCUAAUUAAAGACAGCUAAUGUUUCAAUUUCCACACAAUUAUUUCAGUCAAAACAACAAACAAAUGAGAAUUAUCAAACCGCAUGCCAAUUUUGGCUAAUAGCACAAUCUUUACAUAAUUCAUUUCAUCAUUACAUGUGAUACCAUCACAACAUAUAAACCUACUACAUAUACACUCCAGACUUCUUCACUUUCAGGCUGGAGCUCUUUACAUGAGAGGAAACACCAUUUCUGGAAAUGUCCGUACAGGCUGAACAAAGGCAUCUAACAAUUAACCAAAAGAGUUAGAAACAAAAUAAAAACAAAUAUAGAAAGCAGCUAGGGACUAAAUCAUGAACCAUCUCUACAUGUAACAUGUAACCGUAAUAACCACAAGGACUAGCUGUUGCAUGAAUACCAAAACUUCCAGAAAUGGUUGUUCAGAAUACAAGAAGGCAUAGUUGUUGCAUGUAUACCAAAACUCCUAGAAUGGUUCUAGAUGUUGAAUGCAGAAAACGAUUUAAUCUUUGAUGGUUCAUUGAGCACGACACGAAUGAUUUAAGAUAACAAGACAUAUGUUCUACACUAAUUUUACACAAAAUCAUUAUCAAUUACAAUUUACAACAGACUUAAAACAAAACACCAUAGCUUCUGCAUCACAUAGGGAAUCAACACAAUGGCAUCAUGGCCCAUCGACCAAAGAAGAAAAGAAAAUAAUGGGAUAGACCGAAGCCUUAUCUAGUCAGAGAAGAUAGCGUUGAUGUAGUUGCAGCACGGCUACCUCAAGACUGUGAAUGUGGUGCCAUGGUCGGGGUUGAUGCGCUCGAGCAAGGUAAGCAUAAUGGCCUCGUCGGGUCUGCGAGAAUAAGAAAAGUAUUAGCUAUAUUGCCCAG